GCGGCCGUGGCUGACUGGUCACGGUAUUCGCUUUGUAAGCGAAUGAUCCUGGGUUCGAUUCCCAUCUGCUCCC
rnacentral:tRNA from 1 species